rnacentral:rRNA from 1 species
AUACGGAGGGUGCAAGCGUUAUUCGGAAUCACUGGGCGUAAAGGACGCGUAGGCGGGUUGGCAAGUCAGAUGUGAAAUCCUACAGCUUAACUGUAGAACUGCAUUUGAAACUGCUAACCUAGAGUAUGUGAGGGGGAGAUGGAAUUAGUGGUGUAGGGGUAAAAUCCGUAGAUAUCACUAGGAAUACCGAAAGCGAAGGCGAUCUCCUGGAACAUAACUGACGCUAAGGCGUGAAGCGUGGGGAGCAAACAGGAUUAGAAACCCUAGUAGUCC